UGUGUACUCCCUCCGUUCCAAAAUACUUGACUUCCAUUUGUCCAAAAAUGGACGUACCUAUAUACUAAAACAUGUCUAGAUACAUGUAUAUUCUGACAAAUAGAAGGCAUGUAUUGUGCAACGGAGGGAGUAGAAU
rfam:Triticum aestivum genome assembly, contig: Triticum_aestivum_CS42_TGACv1_scaffold_131926_2BL